rnacentral:sRNA from 1 species
CAUGGAGACGCUGUACCCCCUACAUCUAUCACACCAUGAUCAAGUCCCACACACCUGUGAACCUCUUCCCAAGGUGAAGCCACUAAAGCCCAAAGGCAAGGAGAAUCUCUCCUGGGAUGACAAGGCUCCAGUGUGCACUUGGACUCCAAGGUUCUCCAUGGGCCUCAGAACAUCACUAGAGCUCUGGAGAAGGCUGACACUGCUAUUGACAGGACCAGACAGAUCCAGCAAGAAAGUCAACAGUACAUCUCCAAGCCCUUGACUAGAAGUGACACUGAAGGUUGAGAAAAAUCAUAAGAAAGACAAAUCCGGUGAUGAGCUUGAUUACAUGAGCUGUGGCUAUCAGUUUACUCCAUUCAGAAAACGCCCAGGGAGCAGGGGACAUGCUUCCUCUGCCAAUCCUGUGUCCUUCCCAGUCCAAUAAGCAACGAGGAGAUCUGAGCUGCCCGCAAGGCCAAGGAUUCUCUUACUUUUCCUCUGUUCCCAUAGUCUAGACGCACUCUGAGGACCAGACCCCAAGUCAGAUAGGCGUCUACCCCUCUGCCACACCAGAGGCUGCUCCAUUUUCAGGUGAAUCUGAGGAGACUUGAGUUGCAUGAGGGGUAAGAUUCAAGUGACUGAACAAGCAAGGCCAAACUUUGUGUCUCACUGUCUGACUGUACCAGCAAGAGCCCAGGAGCUUGGAAUUCUGGACUAGGGUUUGUAGUCCAGCAGCAGGAAGGUAAUCAGUAUAGGUCAAGUUGUAGCCAUCUGUAGAUCCACCCUGUCCCCAGCUCUGCCUCAGAGAAAUCACCAUGAGCUCCUGAGGCUUUGCAAAGUGACCACAGAGAACAGGUAGUUCUUGAGCCUAGAGCAUCUGAAACAAGAAACUUCCUGCAGGGCUGCAUCUGACAGGCCUUGAGAGGGUGCUACUCGGUCCUGGCAAGGUGCUGUAUCCGGCUGAUUUCCAGUUUUUGCCAGGACACUUAGGGCUCAGUCAGAUUUUGUGACAGGUCCCUGUGCUUAGAGUCCCUGUGGUAGAUCCAGGAGGGCCUGGAUCCUUGACACGAAUGCUGCCAGUUUCGUGAUGUCAUAAGCAACCCCUGAACGGCAGCCUGUCAUGCAAAGAUGUCCCCAGCUCCUUGGAACCCCCUCAGUAUAGGGACCUUCUUCACACCUGUAUCCACUGAAGGGGUCACUAUCACCAGCCUCUUUCUCUCCCAACCCCUGCACACUUGCUCCUUCCUCUCUCUUCCCCAACCACCACUCAGAGUGCAGGCCACCACCCACAGUGGCUAUCCAGACAUGGAGCUUCAAAUGCUGCUGGUUGGGAGAAUGUCCCUGGUGGUCUCUGCUGGGACAAUGGGAGGGGGGCAUCCUUCCAGCUGGGUGGUGGGGCUAAUCCCUGAGGCUCCAGGUAGGGGUCAGAGAGAACAGCAAAAGCAGGCAUACAAGGCAGCGGCCACUCAUGUAAAUGGGCAAGCUCCCUGGGACUUGCUGGCACCCGUGGUGCUGGUUUCUCUAUUCACUGGAGUUCCGUUGCUUGUCCCCACCCAACUUUAUAAACCCAACAGUUUAUGGCAGGCAGCUUGAGAGGCCUGACCUAGCUUUGCAGCUGUCUUGUUUAUCUCUGUUAAGGCCAAGGAGAGGAGAAGGGUGUGCUAGGCUCCUCUCUGAAAGGUGAUAGGAGUCCACCCUUUUUUGCAGGGCACUGGAGUGCCAUGAGAGCUGUUCUCCUGGACUCUGCCCAGGGGCCUCAGCCUAAGAGCUCUACUGAGAAGUGAUUCCUCUGAGGACACUCCCCAUGCGUGUCUGAUGGCUCCAUACAAGUCAAAAGAAGACUCCUGAGGAGUGCUUGUCAUGUCUACACACCAGACAGGAAGAAGACAAGCUUCCCUCCAGCUGUGAGAGCAUGAACAAGAAGUCGGCUCAUCUUGGCAGGGGUCUCUCGAGAGGCGUGGUCUCAGGUGGAGGAGGAGUUCCCAUGGAUCUGAGGCGCUCACUCCGGCUUCAUCUGCUCCUCACCAAUUACAGUUACAAAGACACUCCUCCUGAGGAAGACCACAUUUCCCAAGUAUCUGGAGUCAACAUUCAGACCACGGUUUGCUGAAGACAAGGAAAUGAAUGCCAAAUGUUCAAUGACCUCACUGAGCUCUUCUGAAGGGCCCUGGCUCACCUGCGGGGCCCUGGCUACCAGCAAUGUCUGGGCUUCUUUAUAGUAGUCCUGGUUAGACCCCUGCUGUCUCUGGUCCCUCUCCACAACCACUGCUUCUCUGUGACACUGGAGUGGUAAGUUUAGCUUACCCAGCUAACACAACUCAGAUCAACAAUAUGGCGUGGACAUAAACCCAUCCAGAGACCAGAGCCAUAGCCCAUUUUGGCUCAUAACACCCUGGGGUCACUAAGGGAGGGACAAAACUUCAUUUGUCACCUGUUGAUGGAUUGGAUUUAAAAACUGCCCACGAAAAUACGCAUGUAGUCCUUAGCCCCUGGUAUCUCGGAAUAUGACCUUUUUUGAAAAUAGGGUCUUUGGGACUAGUUGAAAUGAGGUCAUAAUCAUGAAAGAUACAUCCCUAAUCCAACAUGACUGGUCCUUAAAACACCGCUGUGUGCAAGUGUGACACAGAGGUGAAGACAUCAUGUGACAGUGGGCAGAGUGGGUGAUGUACUAAAGCUAAGAGUUUCCCAGGAGCGCAGCACCAGCAGAAGCUGGAGAGGCUAGGAGAGAUUCCCCUCAGCCUCACCAGGGCCCGUCAUGCCUGACCCCCAUCCAGAUGUGGUCCAGGGGUGCAAGAAAGUGUUUCUGCUGUGUGAGACCUCCUAGCUUGGCGUGUUGGAGGCAUCACCGGGUCCUCAUGCACCAGCUCUAGCCCCCGACAGGUGGCUACACCGUGAGCUCAGCCAAGAAGCAGGUGUCAUCCAAGUUUGGGUGGGACUCUCCCGGGUACCCUGGCAAGAUGAGCAAAGAAAGCACUGGAAGGAGUACGGGUCACUUCCUCAUCAGAGCCUAUCGUUUAACACAGUGCCUGGGCUGAUCUGAUGCAGUCUGAGUGUGUGGCCCAUCUCUAGCAAGUCCUCAGCUCCUUAGGAAAUCUGAUCAGGGUCCCCAGGGAUGCUCAUUUGUUUUGGUUGCUGGGCUUCUGAUCACCGGGACUCACGGGUCCGGUGCCCCUGACAAUCCCCCCUUCUCCUGGUGGUCACUGCUGUCAUACAAGUUUCUAUCAUUCAGGCAGAGUCAGAGCGCCUUGUGGGCGGAGUCUCUCCCCUGAGAUCCCUCAGCUACCGGUGGCUGUACACCUGAGCCUGUAGGGAGUUUCAUUGCCUGGUGAUGGGCUUGCUCCUCCCUUCACUUUGUUCCCAGGGCAUCCGUUUGCAAAGCCUGACAAGGCUGUCAAUAGGUCAGGCAUCAAAUGGUUCUCAAAGCAAUUAUCCUGAAUAUUCCAUCCUCCGCCACAUACCUGCGCCUGCGUGGCUACUCACCAACAAAACUACCACGUGACUCUACCAGCCAGAGGGGCCUGUGGAUCCAGUGACCAACUGAUGAAAUCCAGGGAAGCAGCAUGGGGGAGGUACACUGAUAUUUGGCCUGCAUGGAUGUCUGUGUGAGGGUGUCGGAUCCCUGGAACUUAAGCUACAGACGGUUGUGUGCUGCCAUGUGGGUCCAGGGAAUCGAAACUCAGUCCUCUGGAAGAGAAAGCAGUGUGCUUAACUCCUGAGCCAUCUCUUUAACCCAGAAAAUAACUUUUAAUAAGAUCUAUCAACAUGUAGCCUCCUUCUAUUUAGGAGAGGGCAAUCAUCCCUUGCAGCCCAGGCCUGGCUUCAAGGAUGACCUUAAUUUUUAUGUUCCUUCCUAGAUUUCCCAAGUACUCUGUGUGUGUGUGUGUGUG